UAGGGCUCAUUGUAAUUCAUGUGACCACCUCUGCACCUCCAGGGAGGCUAAAAUGAGAUUAGAAGAUUAAAAUUGUAUUAGCACAGAUCCUGGGAACAAGUUGGACUCCUUGGAGGCUGUUAAAGCUAACCCAGUAGUCCCCCAGCUGUCCCAACUGGGGAAACGUAUGUGAUCUGCCCUUGCCUGGUUUACAGACAGAAGCUGGAGCACUGAUUGAUGAUGAUAUUUGUAAUGAAACUAAUACAUUGAAAGAGCAAGUUAUUCAGAGAUUGCUCCAUGGAUAAUAUGGACAACAAUCCUUAAAACAAAGAAAAAGGAAACAUAAAGCCUUUCUGUGUCCAAGACUUAAUUGCUUCAUGCCAAAAUAAAUACUCUCUGAACAGAACCUUUCAUAAAGGUUUUAUGCAUUCUAGAAGAACUAAAAGAAGACUCUUAGAAUUGAAGUAUAUAUGUUAUCUCUUAUUUUC
rnacentral:lncRNA from 12 species